UUGGAGAAUUGAGAAUACCAGCUGCCAGAGAAUAGACGUCGUGUUGCAUUCUAUUUGUUGUUAUGCUUGUCCACUUCUCAUAUUGGCUUGUGUUCUGAAUUACUAUCUACUUGCCUACCCGGAAAUGGAGCGUCUGAAUUAAUCCUCCAGAGCAUAUUGCAAAGCAGAAAAAUUAUUAGUAGAAACAAAGAAACAAGACGUUGUCAAGGAGAAGAAGAAAGAAAGACAUUUGGAAAGAGUUAGUAAACUUCAUGAGUUGCAGGAAGCUGUAGUUCAAGAGGUUCAAGAUGAAAAAGACUAUAUUACCACAGAAAAUCUGGAUGAAAAGAUUGCAGAAGCAUUGGAAAAUCCGAAGGAUUACAACUUUGUGCUCACUCGAUCAGGUGAAGUGUUGACUACAGAACCACGAAAACACGACUUAUUGCCAGUACAAGGAUGGUAAUAUUGAUGUCUAGAUUACUAAUUUAUUCUGUAUCUAGACUUGUGUGAUCAGUAGAUAUAACAUUUAUAUUUACAUUUUGUGAUGUUGAAAUGAGCAAUUGUAGUGCAUAUUGCAUUUUGUGUUAUCUAAAUACCUCAAAUGCUGUUCCUUUGCUGUUCUAGAUUAUUUGUAUUGAGCAGGUUAUGUUAAUUGUACAA